UGAGGAAUAUUGGUCAAUGGGCGCAGGCCUGAACCAGCCAAGUAGCGUGAAGGAUGACUGCCCUAUGGGUUGUAAACUUCUUUUAUAAAGGAAUAAAGUCGGGUAUGUAUACCCGUUUGCAUGUACUUUAUGAAUAAGGAUCGGCUAACUCCGUGCCAGCAGCCGCGGUAAUACGGAGGAUCCGAGCGUUAUCCGGAUUUAUUGGGUUUAAAGGGAGCGUAGAUGGAUGUUUAAGUCAGUUGUGAAAGUUUGCGGCUCAACCGUAAAAUUGCAGUUGAUACUGGAUAUCUUGAGUGCAGUUGAGGCAGGCGGAAUUCGUGGUGUAGCGGUGAAAUGCUUAGAUAUCACGAAGAACUCCGAUUGCGAAGGCAGCCUGCUAAGCUGCAACUGACAUUGAGGCUCGAAAGUGUGGGUAUCAAACAGGAUUAGAUACCCUGGUAGUCCACACGGUAAACGAUGAAUACUCGCUGUUUGCGAUAUACUGCAAGCGGCCAAGCGAAAGCGUUAAGUAUUCCACCUGGGGAGUACGCCGGCAACGGUGAAACUCAAAGGAAUUGACGGGGGCCCGCACAAGCGGAGGAACAUGUGGUUUAAUUCGAUGAUACGCGAGGAACCUUACCCGGGCUUAAAUUGCAGAUGAAUUACGGUGAAAGCCGUAAGCCGCAAGGCAUCUGUGAAGGUGCUGCAUGGUUGUCGUCAGCUCGUGCCGUGAGGUGUCGGCUUAAGUGCCAUAACGAGCGCAACCCUUGUUGUCAGUUACUAACAGGUUCCGCUGAGGACUCUGACAAGACUGCCAUCGUAAGAUGUGAGGAAGGUGGGGAUGACGUCAAAUCAGCACGGCCCUUACGUCCGGGGCUACACACGUGUUACAAUGGGGGGUACAGAAGGCCGCUACCUGGUGACAGGAUGCCAAUCCCAAAAACCUCUCUCAGUUCGGAUCGAAGUCUGCAACCCGACUUCGUGAAGCUGGAUUCGCUAGUAAUCGCGCAUCAGCCAUGGCGCGGUGAAUACGUUCCC
rnacentral:rRNA from 1 species